UACAGAGGUCCCAAGCGUUGUUCGGAUUCACUGGGCGUAAAGGGUGCGUAGGCGGUCGGGUAAGUCUGAUGUGAAAUCUCACAGCUUAACUGUGAAACUGCAUUGGAUACUAUCCGGCUCGAGGAAUGGAGGGGAGACUGGAAUACUUGGUGUAGCAGUGAAAUGCGUAGAUAUCAAGUGGAACACCAGUGGCGAAGGCGAGUCUCUGGACAUUUCCUGACGCUGAGGCACGAAAGCUAGGGGAGCAAACGGG
rnacentral:rRNA from 1 species